UCCUACGGGGCGCAGCAGUGGGGAAUAUUGCACAAUGGGGGAAACCCUGAUGCAGCAACGCCGCGUGAGUGAAGAAGGUUUUCGGAUUGUAAAGCUCUGUUAGCAGGGAAGAGGAAGGACGGUACCUGCAGAGGAAGCCACGGCUAACUACGUGCCAGCAGCCGCGGUAAUACGUAGGGGGCAAGCGUUAUCCGGAUUUACUGGGUGUAAAGGGAGCGCAGACGGCUGUGCAAGUCUGGAGUGAAAGGCGGGGGCCCAACCCCCGGACUGCUCUGGAAACUGUAAAGCUGGAGUGCAGGAGAGGG
rnacentral:rRNA from 1 species